rnacentral:lncRNA from 1 species
AGCAGACCUUAUGAGUGAGUGUGCCACCUAAGCUGCCCUCAUUCAAUUGCCCUCUUUGCCUUUAUAAUGAGACUCCCGCAACAAUAGUUCACAUGUACUAAGAAGAACAAUUCAUAAUAGUAAUCAAAUAAUAAUAAUAAUAAUCUUAUAGAGAGAUGGCAAAGUGGUGUGUCACUGUCAUGCUUGUUCUUGCUGUAGUAGCGGUUCACACUAGUGCAAGAAACACGCCUAGUGAUCAUGAUGAUCAAGUGGUUCAUAACGCUGCCAAAAAUGCACCCUCUGGUGCUGGCCUUGAUGAUCAAAAGAACUUUCUAACAUACUGUGGUGUCGGUGGCUUCUCCGCCAUUGGUUCUAAUGGGCUUCCGCUUGGUGGAGUUGGAGGUCUUGCUGGCGUUACUGGCCUCGGUGGUGCUGGUGGGCUUGGAGGAAUUGGUGGAGUCGGUGGUCUCGGUGGUUCAAGUGGGCUUGGUGGAGUUGGUGGCGUGGUUGGCGGCGUUGGCGGUGGUGCUGGUGGCGGCGUUGGUGGUGGUUCUGCCGGUGGAGUUGGCAUUGGCACUGGAGUGCUUCCUUUCCCUUGAAAUAGUUGGAGCCUUAGAAGACAUUAGGGCUUCUUUACUUGCUUUUAAUUAAUCAAGGUUUUUCCUGUUUGAGGGUUUCCCGUGCACGUUAUUAAGAAAGUUUAGUUUUAAUGUCAUGUUCGUGUGAUAGUUCGUUUACUUCGGCUUCAGUUACUGUUUGCUUUUGAUUUUUAGCUUUGAGAGCUUCUGGUAUGUUAUCGUAAUGUAAUUCUCUACUUCAGAGAUAUUCGACGUAAAUAAUUUAAUCGCGUGUUUUAUCUUCUUCUUCUGUCUUUUAACUGGAGAUGACUGAUGUUAUAGAACCUUAGCUAAAGCAACUAAAGUUUACAUAUGAAGUUAUCGAAGCUCAUGCAUUAUGUUACACUAAGCAAAGUAAGGUCAUUAAUUUGUCGGGCCACAGCCUUAAACUUGACUAUAUGUCGUGGAAAUGUUUUGGGAUUCAGGAGCACCUGUAUUUUCAUUCAUUAAUUGCCAUGUAUAUAAUUCAACCAACCAUAAUAAUAAAUAUUAAGCAAUGCUCCAGGAGUAUUAAAAAAUCUUAAUUCUUUAGGAACACUAAAUACCUUCUUGUAUAUUAGUUGGUGUUGAAUAAAAUGGCAUUGAAGAAAGUUUUCAAAAACAUAAUCCGCACUUGUCAAAGGGAUAAUCUGCACUUGUCAAAGACACGAUCCGCGCCGAACGGAUUGACAUAUUUCCUUCCGUAUUUACAUAUGUAAUCUUUGAAAAAAUGUAGCAUCUGCAUCUAUAAAUAACUCUCAGUGUAUAAUGUUUUAUUCAAGAAAUGAAAACACGUUUCUUCAAUUGGAUGAUCGGUGAAUCAAUAACUGAAUAUCAAAAUUGAUAAUACGUUAUCAAUAAGCAUGUAUUUUAAUGAUAAUUUAUAUAUUAGAAAAAUGAUCCUAUAGCUGAAAGACACUACUAUACAUAGAGGAAAAAAUAAAACUGGUGGAGAAUUUAUGUGUCGUGUUACUAAACUUUUCUCAGUUGUAAAUGUUCUAUUAUUUCCUAUAGUUUAAGUCAACGAUUCAAUUAGUGUUGACCAAUAUUUUCUCCAAACGAUUUUCUCAAUUUAGGUGUAAAGAGUUGGGAAUGGUGGAGUGUAAUAUUUGGGGUGGACUUAGAAUGUGCAGGUAUCCGAUCCCAAAUUAAACUUGUUAGGUAGAGAUUGAAUGUAGGUCGACAUUGAAUUUAGCAGCUGACUUCCAUUGACCAACCAAUAUUUAAUGCAACUCAACAGUAAAUUAAAAUAUUGAAUGGAAACUUUAUAUUUAAUAACCACCAAUCAGAUUUAACAAAACAAUCUAAUUCUUUAAUAAUCAACUUACCCUAUAUAAAACCAUUAACUGCUUCAAAUUUUGCCAUGAGUAAUGCUACUUGCAUAUAAAAUUGUACAAAUUUAUUAAUUCAUUUUUAUUUAUAAUUUUGUGUGCAAAUAGUGUUUAGCUUUUUCCAAACUCUUGAAUUACGAUGGUCCCAAAGGAUUGGACAGAUUUUACCAUUAAAUUAAUGUGUCAGUACAUGUUAACUAAAAGUCUUUAGUUAGAGAAAACUAGAUUGACAAAGUGAGUGAGUAAAGUAACCAAAACACGCAAAUUUAGUUGAGAUAAGAAUUUUUUUUCUUUUAGAUUAGAUAAGCAAAUUAAUUAGCAGAAUAAAAAGUAUAAUGACAGUAGAAAAUGUUUGAUAUAGAAGUCCAAUACCAAGAUGAAAAAAAAAAGAAAUAUUUCUUACAAAUUAAUUUGAUGUUUAGAUUUUUUUUUAAUAAAAAAAAAUUGAUGUUUAGAGUUGAGCACGUGCUACUACGUACUAUGAGUUAUGGACUACAGCUCAGUGAAAAGGCUCGAUGACUUUUUACUUAAUUCUCCGCAACGCAAGAACAUUUAAUUUUACUUUUUCACAGCUUAAUUAGGAUUUGCAUUUCCUCUCAAAACUCAAAAGGUAAGGUUCCUUGUCACACACAGUUUAAAAUUUUUCAUGUCAUUGGAAAUGGUCCAGGAAAUUAAUAAUGCCCAGAAUUGAGUCAAUCACUUCACAUCGGCCCUUUUCUUCCAACCAAAUGUAAUUACUUGAUUGGUUGGGCAAAUGUUUCUCUGCAUAUCACAUGCCCGAACGCCACAUCCCUAAUCAGCAUUUCAUUUGUCACCACCAUAUCUGGCAUGCAUGUUUAUUUCUGCAUUUGCCACCCUGGCCAUCGCAGUAACUUUCUUUCAGCUGGUACCCCAAGCGUUUAAACCAUUACGAUGACUCCUAUAACAAUUUUACUCUAAGCACAAAUCCUUGAAAAUAUAUAUUUCAAACAGCAGACCUUAUGAGCGAGUGUGCCAGCUAAGUUGCCCGCAUUCAAUUCUAUUUACUACCCACAACUACCCCCCCAAUGCCCUCUUAGCCUUUAUAAGGAGACUCCCGCAACAAUAGUUCACAUGUACUAAGAAGAAAAAUUCAUAAUAGUAAUCAAAUAAUAAUAAUCUUUGAGAGAGAUGGCAAAGUGGUGUGCCAAUGUCAUGCUUGUUCUUGCUGUAGCAGCGGUUCACACUAGUGCAAGAAAUACGCCUAGUGAUCAUGAUGAUCAAGUGGUUCAUAACACUGCCAAAAGUGCGCCCACUGAUGCUGGCCUUGAUGAUCAAAAGAACUUUCUAACAUACGGUGGUGUUGGUGGCUUCUCCGGCAUUGGUUCUAAUGGGCUUCCGUUUGGUGGAGUUGGAGGUCUUGGUGGGAUUACUGGCCUCGGUGGUGCUGGUGGGCUUGGAGGAAUUGGUGGAGUCGGUGGCCUCGGUGGUGCUAGUGGGCUCGGUGGUUCAAGUGGGCUUGGUGGAGUUGGUGGCGUGGGUGGCGGCGUUGGCGGUGGUGGCGGCGUUGGAGGUGGUGCUGGUGGCGGCGUUGGUGGUGGUUCUGCCGGUGGAGUUGGCAUUGGCACUGGAGUGCUUCCUUUCCCUUGAAAUAGUUGGAGCCUUAGAAGACAUUAGGGCUUCUUUACUUGCUUUUAAUUAAUCAAGGUUUUUCCUGUUUGAGGGUUUCCCGUGCACGUUAUUCCCGUGCGCGUUAUUAAGAAAGUUUAGUUUUAAUGCCAUGUUCGUGUGAUAGUUCGUUUACUUUGGUUUCAGUUACUGUUUGCUUUUGAGUUUUAGUUUUGAGAGCUUUUGGUAUGUUAUUGUAAUGUAAUUCUCUACUUCAGAGAUAUUCGACGUAAAUAAUUAAAUCGCGUGUUUUAUCUUCUUCUUCUUCUGUCUUUUAAAUGGAGAUGACUGAUGUUAUAGAACUUUAACGAAAGCAACUAAAGUUUACAUAUGAAGUUAUCGAAGCUCA